CAGUCGCCGCGGUAAUACGAAGGGGGCUAGCGUUGCUCGGAAUUACUGGGCGUAAAGGGCGCGUAGGCGGCGCUCCAAGUUAGGCGUGAAAUUCCCGGGCUCAACCUGGGGACUGCGCUUAAGACUGGAGUGCUUGAGGAUGGAAGAGGGUUGUGGAAUUCCCAGUGUAGAGGUGAAAUUCGUAGAUAUUGGGGAGAACACCGGUGGCGAAGGCGGCAACCUGGUCCAUUACUGACGCUGAGGCGCGAUAGCGUGGGGAGCAAACAGGAUUAGAUACCCCCGUAGUCCCUGUCUCUUAUAC
rnacentral:rRNA from 1 species